CAGACUUGUCUUGGGACAAAAUUGAGAAGAACUCAUAAACUUGGCUGCCUCACUUCUGCUCCUCAGGCUCACUGGCAAAGGCAAAACAGCGCUCAAGGGGCAAUUACCUUCUAUACCAUGGGUGGACGGAGAAGACAGUAACCAGAGAUGGGGAAGCUAGUCAGGAAGCUGCUGAAGUUAUCUGAGAGGUAAGAAGGCUAAGAGCUUAGACAAAGACAACAGUGAAAAGUGGAGAGAUAAAAGACACAAGUGGUUCAGGAGAGCUAUAGAACAUUGUCACUAAAAAUGGAUUUGAGGAGGCUGCGGGAGGGGCAGAUCUAAGAUAACUUCCUGCACAUUAAAUCUGGAAGAAUGAUGGCACAGUGGAUGGCAACAAGGAAGCUGGUGAGUGGAUCCUAUUUAAGGCAGGGUUAGUUUUAUUGUUUUUAUGCUUGACUUAAUGGUAAUAGGAAUUAAACUAACUGGUGGAUGAGAGCCGGUGACUGAAGAGUUACCACCUGCU
rnacentral:lncRNA from 1 species